UUAGUCGUAAUAAUAAAAUCAAAAUUAGUAUUAGUUAAGUUCUUGAAAAUUAAAGAUUUUGGCGGUAUUUUAGUCUUUUCAGAGGAAUCUGUCCUAUAAUUGAUAAUCCACGAUUAAUUAAACUUUAUUUAUUAGUUUGUAUACCGUCGUAGAAAAGUAUUUUAUAAGAAAUUAAAUACUUAUUUUUUAUAAGAAUUAAAAUCAGAUCAAGGUGCAGUUUAUAAUAAAGAAGAGAUGGAUUACAAUAUAUUUUAUAUGUGAAUUAAUUUAUUUAAAAUAAUUAUGAAAAUGGAUUUGAAAGUAAUUAAUUAUAUAUUUUUUUAAUGAUUUUAGCUCUAAAAUAUGU
rnacentral:rRNA from 1 species